GUACACUCCUGCGGGAGGCAGCAGUGGGGAAUAUUGCACAAUGGGCGCAAGCCUGAUGCAGCCAUGCCGCGUGUAUGAAGAAGGCCUUCGGGUUGUAAAGUACUUUCAGCGGGGAGGAAGGCGAUAAGGUUAAUAACCUUGUUGAUUGACGUUACCCGCAGAAGAAGCACCGGCUAACUCCGUGCCAGCAGCCGCGGUAAUACGGAGGGUGCAAGCGUUAAUCGGAAUUACUGGGCGUAAAGCGCACGCAGGCGGUCUGUCAAGUCGGAUGUGAAAUCCCCGGGCUCAACCUGGGAACUGCAUUCGAAACUGGCAGGCUAGAGUCUUGUAGAGGGGGGUAGAAUUCCAGGUGUAGCGGUGAAAUGCGUAGAGAUCUGGAGGAAUACCGGUGGCGAAGGCGGCCCCCUGGACAAAGACUGACGCUCAGGUGCGAAAGCGUGGGGAGCAAACAGGAGUAGAUACCCUAGUAGUCCC
rnacentral:rRNA from 1 species